UACGUAGGGGGCAAGCGUUAUCCGGAUUUACUGGGUGUAAAGGGAGCGUAGACGGCUGUGCAAGUCUGGAGUGAAAGGCAUGGGCUCAACCUGUGGACUGCUUUGGAAACUGUGCGGCUUGAGUGUCGGAGAGGCAAGUGGAAUUCCUAGUGUGGCGGUGAAAUGCGUAGAUAUUAGGAGGAACACCAGUGGCGAAGGCGGCUUGCUGGACGAUGACUGACGUUGAGGCUCGAAAGCGUGGGGAGCAAACAGG
rnacentral:rRNA from 1 species